rnacentral:tRNA from 3 species
GGGCUCGUGGUGCAGCGGUCUAGCACAUCCGCCUGUCACGCGGAAGAUCGUGGGUUCAAAUCCCAUCGGGCCCGCAA